AAGGACAAAUCCGGUGCAAAAUGGACCUUGGGGUUAACAACACAUGUGUACCAAGUCGGCUGUUUGCUGGGAUAUGUUUUCAUAAUCUAAUGUGAGCAGUUUUAGCACAAACCGCUAAUUACCUUAUAAUGCUAGUCAUUGGGGCAAGUAAAAAGAAAUCACUAUUUCCAUACCACUAACAAGGCUCAAAAUAGCAUUACACUUCUACGGUGGCAUAAUGAGGGUCCCUACAUGUAAACCAAAGCAUUGAGAACUUUGUAAUUGUACAGACAGUUUAUUAAAAAGAUACUUUAUAAAGACCGUUUGCCUACAGGCAGGCACCAUCCUGGGAAAAUAGACACAACCAGUCAAACAACGAACGGCGUGUAACCAGUAACCAGUAACAUUGCUCAAGCGCAGUGUUACUAGCGUUAUAAGCUAAGCAACGGUUUGCAAUAAAACUGGUCAAAUUUGAUUAGCAUGAAAACAUAGCCCAGAGAACGUUUAAAUAAGUACAAAUUUGUUAUUAACCCCUAGGUUCAUUUUGUGCUGGAUUUGUCCUUUAAGUACAUGUUGAUGCC